rnacentral:lncRNA from 1 species
UCGAAUCAAGGUCUGCGUCGUAUAAUGGCUCACCGAGAAAUCGUGUACUUCUGCCAUUUAGAAUGUGAACCUCCGAACCUGCCUUCACAAGAAAUUGAAGAACUCAAAGAAGUGUUAGAAAAAUUCCAGGAGUCAUUCAGAGAGCAAACCGAAUUACCUCCAAACAGAACAACUGAUCAUCGUAUUACUCUGAUAAGUGGUGCCCAACAAGUAAAUGUGAACCCAUACAGAUAUUCACUGAUGAAGCACGAAAUCUGCUACCAGUAGGCUCACGGGG